AGGAAAAGUAUGCAACACAGCUGCUCUGGCAGAUUCCAAAUGGAAACGGUUGCAGGCCAAAACUUCAGGUGUUCAUGCAUUCAACAGAUCCGAAGAACCAGGAAAGGUUAGAAGAGCUAAGAUUGCGUACACAGCUCUUGUACUAUUCUUACUCUUAGCUUGGUCCGCUGUACUCAUAGGAUCUGUGUUUGCUCUCAGAGAAAAUAUCCAUGAUUGCGAGCGCUGUUCAAACCCUCAGCUUUGCAGAAGUACCACACCUGCUUGGGGAGGUGCAGCUGUGGAGGAAUGCUCUGCUUUAGG